UUCGUAUUGAAAUGCAGAUAGUGCGAGUCUCUUGGGUUUUAUGGAACGGUUGCUUAAGCUGAAAAGUAUAUUUGUUAGUGAAGCAUGACUGUGUCUUUGGUGACGAUUUUGGAAACGAGUGAGAUAAGCUUUGUUUCAGAGUCGAUCUUUCCUGGCAAAUCUGCAGACCCCGAAAUGGCUGCCGCUAUCAACAAGCUAAUAAAAAUGUACAGGAUAACUGUGGAUAACUGGGAUGAAUGGGAGGACGUGCAAGGGCAUUUCGAUUUUAAAAGGGACUUUGCUAAAUCUGGCUUGAUUGGAGCAGGGGGGUUCCUUGGAAAAUCAUGGCCAGACAUGGACAUGCUACCACUAGGUUGGAUAAGCAAAUCUGAUGACACCAUGUUCCAUACUCAAAUCUCCUUUAAUGUUUGGAGGGAACUAAGGAAAAUUGACAGUGCAACUCUCAACCUCAUCACAAAUUCCACUCUACUGGAAAUAAAUUAUUUCUGCAAAAACAAUAUGGAGGAAUCGGGAGAAUGUUUACGAGAAGCAUUAUCAAGGAAGUUUCACUUGUUACCAUCUAAAACAGAAGACCACUGUUUGGAUUUUUCUACUAUGGGAAAACCCAGUUUGUGGAAUUUAAAGAACAUAUCUUCCCCUUGCAAAUGGUAUAGAAAAGCUGAGCAUCGAUGUCAGAAGAGUAGUCUGCUUAAAGCUGAGCUCCAAAAAAUUAUUCUCUUCUAGUUACUUAUGUGUAACUCAAUUCUUAACCAGAAAGAUAUUGGUAAUCUCAACACUAGAUGCCAAAUAGCAGAGCUAAGAUUUAUAACUGAGCAGGAUGUAAUUAUCUGCUAAAUCUUUGCUAAUUCUUGUUCUUUUGAUUUUCUACGUGCUUUACAGGUUUAUGUUCGAAAAAAUUUCUAGAUAUCAAUCUUUCUUGGAAAGAAAACUAAUAUUUUUAGUUCUAACAGAUGUGGGAGUGAAGCCAUAGUGGCACCCUAGUGAAUAGCUAUUCCAGCCUUUGUGCAACAAUAUGCCGUCAAAAAGAUUAAUUUCUAAUAAUUUUUUUUUUUUUUGUUGCUUUACAUAAAUUUCCUCCUAGGCUGAAAUUUUCCUGUUGUGUUCUUAUUUAAACAGCAUAAAGACUGGUGGAGACAUCAGUAUCAUGGAUUGCAACUGGAAGAAAAGGGGAAAUAUAUUUAUCAUUCUUCAACUUGAAUGAUAAAUCCACGGUAAUAUCUGAAAAUAUAAAGGAUUUAGCAAAGGUGAUGCCUCCAACUAUCUUGCGAAAUUAUUAUUGUAAGACUUCUGAAGUUUGGAGUGGAAAAGAACUUGGGAUCAUCGAUCUUAGAUCAGAUGCUGUCAAUGGAAGUAGCAGCUCAUGGCUGUGCAUUGGUUGUCCUGAUCUGCAGUUAGGUCGCAGUUUCUUAUGCAGCAUCUUGUGUUAGUGUAAAGUUAAGCGUUGAUGUAAGUCAAGUGAAACCUUGGUUUUAUUGACGUACUUGGUACUUCCCUUCCUUCCCGUAGCCCUUUAAGCCAACGGAGGAUGCAGAAUUCUAAAAUGAAAAUCAUCCACCGUUGGAAAAGCUGUUAAAUCAGCAGGAAUGAUUGUGUAAUAUAUCUUCUUUUUUUUCAUGGGUAUCUGAUGCCUGAGAAUCAUACACGAAAAAUAAAAAAGAAACCCUAUAUUCACGAGGACAAAAGAUUGUAGACAUGUUAUGACCAUCACAAGUUUGUUAUUUGGGUAA